AUGCAUCAGCCACAUCCAUGCUAUCUCCUAAAGCAGUCAUUCUGAAACCCAAUCUGGGGACAGUGCAGACUAAAUAAAAUUUCAUUUUGAUUUGGCCUCCCGCUGAGAAUGGGACUGCUUUGUUUCAGCCGACAGAACCAGCAAGCCAGAAAGGUUUUGUUUCAAAAAUAGAGAAGCUGCUUCUGACCCAGCUGAUCAAAAAUGCUCUUCUUCGGGAAACAGUGCAAAAUGUCUUCUUUUCAAGGCAAAUGAAUUUGAGGACUGGUGAGAGAGGGAGAAAGGGUCAUUGUGGUGGAGGAAAUAUUUUUAUCUGGGCCUCAGGAAACGGUGGUCUGGCUAGCAACUGCAGUGGUACGGAUGAUUACAUGAACAGUAUUUACUCGGGGCAAAGCACACCAUCACUUACCUCUGCCCCAAAACUCCUGGACUACAAGAACUAAUCAAUGUCUGUGUCCACCUGGAAACAUCCAGUGAGGAAGGACUGUGGAGGCUACUACCCUGAAACAGACCUUCAAUCUGCAGUGAGGUUACCACAGAACUUUAGAGGUGGAAAUACUUGAGAAUUCAAAGAUACAUCCAGCACAGAUCCUUUUAACCACAGUUGUCGUUGCUCUGGUUCUUCAGCCCAAAUAAAAAAGAAGCAGGAUGCAUGAGAUUUCAAAAUUUGACUUCCUAUUAAGCAUGAAACACCUCUUAAAACACACGUUGUGGGUCCAGAAGAACACGUCUUUCAGUCUUUGAGAAGUAUUUAAAAUACUCCAGCAGAUGAAGAUUUGGAUUUGGCUCGCUUGAUGCUGGACGAUUAAUGAAGGAAGCCCUAACUGGACAAAUGUUGGUCUCCUGAGACAAUGUGUUGUUGAUAACAGAAAAAGAUUGACAAUAAGAUGUGGAUGUUCAUCUUUAAUGAACUCUAGUUACCAAAAUGGAAACCAGCUAACUUUGAUGGCGCGGCUGACCACCUUCACAGCAACAGCUGAGUAUUUACUUCUUGAAAUGAGCAAGCCUGUUAACUGUGAAUGCGAAGAGACAAAGCAAGCAAAAAACAAAAAGAGAAGCUUGAAGAGCUUUGCUGCCAUAUCAUCUAUGACACUGUAUCAGCUCCUAGUUUUAGGAUCGAUGAGCGAAUAGGUAUGUAAGAGUGACACUGUUAUUCUACAGAGGAGUUAUUUCAAAGGAAAUAAAGAAAAAAAAAUAAAAGGCAUGUAAAUACAUUCUCAGACACUAUAUAAUGGCAACACUAGAGAGGGAACUUAAUUUGGUCUCUUAAUUUCAGUGAAAUAGUAUUGAGCAGAAGUCUAGAUAAUAACGUCCUUGAUCUUAUCAAGCAUUGCCAUAGUACUAGCAUUGCCAUUUUCCUGUUGAGGUUACUCAUGUGAGAGAAACCACUCUGUUGUACAAGUUAAAGGUUCACCUUCUGUCCUUCAUUUUUGUACUUAAACUAGAUUUGGGCAUUUCAAUGUUCAUGCAAAUUGCAGCAUCUUUCAGAGUUGUGCACUUUACAUUAUAAGACACUUUCUUAAUUGUAGAGGUAAUAGAUAUCAUCACCUUUGUUUAACCAUGGAAGGGCUGAUUUUCAAAUUACUUGAAGUUUUAAUUGUUGUGAUUCUAACUCAAUACUGCCUCCAUGACAUCUCACGUGCAGAAGUUACAUCAGUGUAAACCACUUGGGAUAACAGGCAGAAGUAAAUAGCUUUUCCUCUGUAUAUUCCUAGUAUGCUGGAAAUUGGGAGGCUAGGACUUCUCACAGUGCAGACCAUUUGUUGCUGUUGUUUCCCUCUAUGGAUGCCCAUGCUACAUUCCCUUCCUCCCUUACAUACCAAAGUGAGAAAAAUGAUUCCCUCACUAGCAGGGAUUCAGUGGCCUUCUUUAUCAGGCAAAGGUUUUGGUGCUGUACAAGACUGCUACCUUGGAGAAUAUACGCAGCAUGUCUGGAAAAGCUGCCUGAUCUUCCAUUCCUUCGCUUACCCAAAGCAAGAGAACACACUUGACCCAGGAGCCAACAUCUUGCCUUUCUUCAGCCCUGGCCCUGAUGACCACAUACAGACAUAAGCUGGGGAGUUCAGUCUGCGUGACAUCGAGUCUGUCCACAUAAAAUGGCCUUUCUCAGCAUUAAGUGCUGGCAUUAAAUGACAGAGGUGGAGGAGUUUUGGAAAGAGCUGAAAAAAAACCAAACCUGUAGAUGAAUUUGCACUUCACAGAAGUUUCUGUUAAAAAAGAGACAGAAAGGGACAAAACGAGGCAGGAGGAGAAGCUAACACAGAGGGGAAGAAAUGGCAAAAAUCAAGCAUUAAAUAUUUCCUUUAACUGCAGUCAGGGAUGGAGACUAUAUUUGACCAAACAACCAAAUCCUCCACAAGUCAGGACUAAGACUGGCUUCAUUUUUUAUUUCAGGGCUCCCCAUAGAAAGGAGCCAGUCAGUUAUUCUCUGUGUGUUAAAUGGUAUACCAACAUCACUAAUAGACCAAGCAGAUGGUUUUGUUUUAUUGUCUGAAUGCUGUAAUAUUUUACUGUAAAUAUAGAAAUAGGAUAUUCACUUGCCUUAUACAAGUUCCCAAUGUACUUUAUAAUAAACCAAGUAAUUUUGACAGAAAAAUGUUGACCAACUCUAGCCUAACACCGUUCAGACAAUGAGCUCAAUGCUGGCACAAAUCCCAUCCAUUAAAAAAGUCAGUGGUAUUACAUUUAGUUUUACAAUUUGAAGGAUAAAGACAGAAACGCAAGAGAUGGAGCAAUAAGAACCAUGUGGUCCCUCCUCUUCAAGGGUCUCAUCCAGAGCCUAUUAAGUUAAUGUUCAUACUCCCUUUGAUUUUAAUAGGCUUUGCAUAAGUCAGAAAUUAGUGAAAAUGAAUAGCAGGAAAAAGAAUCAUUCUGUUUACAUUUGUUGGGUUAUAUCCAUAAUAAACUUGUAAAAAAUGAAAACGGUAGAAAACAUUAAAACAGAUCCAAAUACUAACUUUAUUUUAGAAUUCAAGAUGACCUCAUUUCCUGCUCCAACAUAAGUACGUGAUGUCAUGAACAUCAGCAGAUUUUUUCAAAACCUUUACUGAAAACACCCCUUUUCCCAUCAUCGAAUACUUCAUCUUGCUUUCUUCUUGCAGCUGUUCCUUCUAGAGACACGUAUCUUUGGGCAAGCGGUUAUGAAUAUCAGGGAGCAAUCCAGAGCACACCACCACCUGGGGCACCAAAAGAAUACAGAUUGCUCUCGGGGGAACCGCUGGGUGGGAGCUGGUGGUGGGUCAGAAAACUGUCCAGCCAAAGCAGAGUGAUGACGGGUGCUCCAGGGAUCAGAAGCAAGGCCAAACGUCACUCUUCCAAGCAAAGAUUUCUAAACUAACCUAGAUUUUUCAUUCCUAACCCCAGUUAGGAAUUCCUAGUUAGAGCCAGUAGAUUUUAUUCUUACAGUAGGACUAGAGUACUUCACAGAUAAAAUCAAGCGUGCAAAGGGACAAUAAGAUUAGACCCUAAUUCUCCAUUUCACCAGAGAACUGAGGAAAAGACAGAUGGAGUGAUUUGCCGGAGCAACCAGAGCCCUUGGUGGAACUCGAUCCCCUGUCCUGUUCAGAGGCUGCCCUUUCCUGCCUGUGAUGUGAAGGAAACGUAGCCAUUAUCAGACACCUGCAAAAGCCCUCCACCCGGUUUUGCUCGAAGUGACAGAGCCCAGAGGACGAUGUGCGUGUUCCCCGCUAGUCUGUAGGGAGCGCGAUGUAGCCGAUGCAAUUCCCGGCUCCAGCACACCUGCAAGGUCUCAUUGAUCUGCUGCUCGGUGCUCUGAAAACUCAGAAAUCUAUUAUCAGUGUGAGCAUGUGCUUAUUGAUCAGAUUACCUGCUUCUGCUCCCAGCGUGUACCUAAUCGUACCGGUGUACACACACACACGCGCGUAAAUAUGCACAAACGCGUGCAUAUAUGCAGGCAUGUGCACACGGGUUAUUAGGAUGUCUGUAUGUUAAAGGCUUUACAUAUUUUUUUUGUUCCACAAAACCGCACAUAAAUAAAAAGAAUGGACCUUCUCCGUGAAACGUGAGCGCAGAAACACUCACAAGUGGCCAAGAGCUGCUAAAUAAUUAAUCAAUAGAGCAGUGUGGCAGUUUGAAAUGUAAAUGUGAUGGAUGAAGGUGUGAUGCUUGUCAUCAAGCAGAAAAUGAUGUGACUGGAAUGGAUAACCCACGGUACCUGCUGACUGGCAAAAGCUUGGACACAAAGAUAAAGUAAAGCCAUCAGAAAGCAGCCCCGGCAACCCCUAAUUCUUGCCUUUGACCCACAAUUCACUUUCAUGUCCCUGUCCCAGAAGAGAUGUUUAAAAAAAUGAUGAAGAGAGAUCUUGGGGUGGGAAAGGGGAGAGAAAAAAAACCAUCUGAAGAAAUGCUACCUGACAAGGCUGCGGGCUACAUUCUUGAGAACACCUUUCUUUUCUUUAUGUUCUCCUUCUCCUGUUAAAUAAAAAUGCGGCUCCUUUUUUCCCUUUCCUUUCUUCCAAAACUCUCCCGAGCCGUUCCUGCAAGUGGUUCUGUGACUCGGGAGCUGACAACAGCCGCAUGCAAAGGAACAAAGAACGAGAGUGACAAUUCAGAGUGCACGCAGAAACGCAAGCCUGAAAGUGGGAUUUAAAAGUUUGAUGGCUCUUUCUCCCUGGAAGAGAGAAUCCUAUUUCUCACUUCAAGAAUCAUUGCAAGUAGGAAACAGACCCUAGAAUUUGGAGCAAUCUGGGUAAAGGAGUCUGUGGGCUGGAAGAAUGAUCCCACGCCUAACAUCUGCAGUGACCACCAGCAGCUGGCUACAGAAGAGGAGAAGAGGGCGACCUCGUGGCAGAGAGCCCUGGAUCACUGUCCCAGCCUCCAGCAAUUGGCAGCUCAGUGACUUCCUAAGCUGAAAAAUUUGCCUACUUUGCUGUAGUGAUGAUAGUCUUCCUUUGGUCACAAGAUGACAGUGAGAAUGGAUUGUCAAACUGGACCACUACGACAAUUUACUCUGGGGGAGAAAAUCCUGUGGGUGUUUGGAAGCUUUACUACAAAGCUUGGUUUCCAAUCUCCUCUGGAGGACCACACCCAGGACCCUCUUUCCAUCUUAAGCAGCACCUGAAGAACUUUGAAGGUUUCACCAGGUAAUGACUGGUUGGUUUGUGACUGCACCGAGUCAGUAGGAGGAUGGCGAAGCAGACUGGCGCGGCACAGAGUGUGCAGCAGACGGCGGUCGGUGACUCUCCAGUAAGAAGCACUGAAGGUGUGGCUGGUUCUGCUGACCCCACCUCAACAUCCCUUGAGGCGGUGUCCACCGGAGUGGGACAAAGGACAUGAUCAGAGCAGCUCUAAAGUGCUUUUCUUCAUGAAGACAAGGCAAGACUGAAAGACAAGGAAGUGCGACCCAGUGAAGAAGCGUACUGUCACAAUGUGGCACUACGCUGGCAACUGUGGCUGUCAGCAAAACACCCCCCCAUUCCGACUGUCAACACCCAAGUGAAGAUAAGCUUACAAAAAGGUUAGUGCACAUCCUGACUUGAUUUAUUUUUGAGUCAUUUUUGGCCCAGUUUCUUCCUCUCCGCACUUCCUAGAACAACAAAAAGCCAGAGGCAGGUGUUAGGACGGCACUGGUUUUUCUCAUUUAAACUGUAAGGCACCGUAAAAAACAAUCAAUGAUCAUGGAGCAUGCUCUGGAUUUGUCUAAGCAUAAGCGACUCAAAUACUAACAUGUGAAUUUAGUAAAGUUAGAGUCUGUGGAGUGGAGAUAAAUUACAGCAGCAAUUGAAGUUGAAUGUGAUAUAGAAAUCCAACCAGCAGAAGACUGUCUGGAAACAAUUAUUCAGAAAGCUGCUGACCCUCUAUUUCUUUAAAGAGUUAAACAUUUGGAUUGGUUAACUGGCAGCCACAAGAAUAGGCAUAUGCUCUAAUCUUUGAUCCGUAGCUGAAUUUGCAACUCUUUGUAUGAGAAGCAGAUCACAUAGAUUUGCAUAUUUUUAAGGAUCUAUAGGGAGAAAAAGAAGAACAAAAACUGCUCUUCCAAGAUGCCACUUUAAGAUCACACAGUGUGUCACGGGUCCCCCCAAGUACACUAAUGUUCAGAGCCAGUUGCAAGACUCACAGAUUUUAUAAAUGGCCCUAAAAUGUGACAUUCACAUCUGAAGUUUAAUCAGAAUUCCUCCUAGAACAGAGCUGAGGUUGCAUCAUAAGUCUUCACAGAGGUAUGUACGUCUGUCAUUAAAACUUAAUUUCCACAUCCAAAUUUGUGUCAGAACUUUCCUAAAAUCUGAAAGAGCCCAGAGUUAAUAGAUAAAUUAGAAAAUGUUUUGUGACCCAAUGAGAAACUGUUGUCCAGACUCAACUGCAUAAGCAAGUAACAGAUUUCUGCCAAGGUCUUGACAUCAUCUUAGUUUUGGCAAAAUUUUCCUGUGUAGAUGAAAAUUCAGCAGACACAAGAAAACCAUGAAUCACCCCACUGGUAGAAUGAAAGCUAACCAAAUUUAAUUGUGGUCAAGGUUCUUUUCUUGCACAUCUCUGUUUUCAACACCAACUGAAAGAUGUUUACUAAUCACUCAUUUUGCAUUAAUGAUCAUGCUUACGCCACAGGAGAAUUUCUCCACUUGGUAGUAGUCCCCCAGAAGGUAGCUCCUCCUGAUAGAAGUGAGCAGUAUAGUGAGUACUGUGAAGCGAUAAGGCAAUCAUUUCUGCAAAUGUUCUCAGUUGGGGGAUAGUUCAACAUAGUUUUUACUCAAUUUGAAAGAAAUCCCUGCCACUUUACAAGAAGCUUUCUGUCCUGGUUCACCUACACAACACUGUUUGAUACCUACAGAGAAGAUGGUGAUAGUGGUUACUUGUUAUUUACCUAUGGAUACUUCCUAUAUAUCCCAAACAAAAAUAUGGAUUAGUGCAUGGGCCUAUGCAGACAUGUGCAAGGAAAUCAGUGUAAAGAGGACACUCUCCAAAAAAUAUUCUGCCUAACUUUCACGUAGUUCCGCGUUGCGGGGCAUGGAGGAAUGGUAGAGAAGGUAGACUAGAAGCCUGAUUGACACAGGAGGCAGUGCUUCCAGGCACUGUCUGCCUUGUCCUGUUGGCAGGCAAUACUCUGUAAAAGUCCUGGCAAAAAUCCCAUGAAGAGGAGAGGGAGGUGAUGCAUGUUCCUGGAUAAAGUGUAGUAAGAAGGCGAGGUAUGCAAUGGUAUUCAAAAAGCUUCUUUUGAGAGUGAUCAGAUCAUCAACAGGUGAACCAGAACAUGAGCCGGCAACAAUGGCUUGAGUAUCUUAAAGAUUAAGGGAGGGAACAGAGAAAGAGAACAGCACACAACUUUUAACAAGAAAAAUUAAUUGGUGAUGGAGUUUUUGAGAAAGGAUGACCAACCUGGGUCCUGAAAGUGCACACAUUCCACAGGUUAAGCAGACUCCAAACAUAACCCAAAACCCAAGGCUAAGCUUUGCUACUUUUUGCACCUUGCCAACAGCACUAGCGAUAAGAGGUGCUCUUCUGUCACUGGCAGGGCCAUGUAACUGACUUUCCAAACCCUGGAAGCAUGAUGAAAAUAAAGGGCCAAGACUUACCUUCCUUCUUUAUUAGGAUUUUUGUCUUCCUUUUACUAACAUGAACAGAUACUUUUCUUUCUGUGUUUUGUAUACCUUUGGGUGUCCCUUCCAAAGGUCUCUGAAAGAUUUCUGCUCUCUCAGAAACUUACUUUUUAGGGGUUUGUGUAACCUGCUUGUUUUGUGAGAAGGCAGGGUGCAAAAAUGGGGAAAUAGAAAUUGCCUUAAGUGCUGUAUAGUAUAAUUUCAAUUGCUUCACGUAGUUCUUGCUAACCAUAUUUCAUAAAUAUCCGCACAUUAUGUUUGUUGUGGUCAUUGAGAUGACAGUUUUAAACCAAUUUGAAAAUGUAUUGUGAUAUAUUUUGUCAAUGUAAUAUUAUAACUGCACAAAAUUGGUUCUCUCAGUUAGAAGAAACAUCUUAAAAGUUGCCUCUCUACAGUUUAUUCUCUGUAUUUUAACUUUGUACUGCACUACAAGGCCAUUUGCUGAGAAUUUGCUCAUGCACUGUUAAGUGGGAUCCUAGCAUAUCACUACAUUCAGUCAAAAUAUUGAAAGUUAAAACAAAAAACCCUAUAGGUGAUGAAAAUGAGACCCAGAAAGUAGCAUUUCUCUUUACAUCGUGUAAAGCAGAAAAUCUGAAAAUCAUUUCAGUAAAAACAGGUAAGA